CAGCAGCCGCGGUAAUACGAAGGGGGCUAGCGUUGUUCGGAUUUACUGGGCGUAAAGCGCACGUAGGCGGACUUUUAAGUCAGGGGUGAAAUCCCGGGGCUCAACCCCGGAACUGCCUUUGAUACUGGAAGUCUUGAGUAUGGUAGAGGUGAGUGGAAUUCCGAGUGUAGAGGUGAAAUUCGUAGAUAUUCGGAGGAACACCAGUGGCGAAGGCGGCUCACUGGACCAUUACUGACGCUGAGGUGCGAAAGCGUGGGGAGCAAACAGGAUUAGAGACCCCCGUAGUCCCUGUCUCUUAUAC
rnacentral:rRNA from 1 species